GAUGAACGCUGGCGGCGUGCUUAACACAUGCAAGUCGAACGGGAAAUAUUUCAUUGAGACUUCGGUGGAUUUGAUCUAUUUCUAGUGGCGGACGGGUGAGUAACGCGUGGGUAACCUGCCUUAUACAGGGGGAUAACAGUCAGAAAUGGCUGCUAAUACCGCAUAAGCGCACAGAGCUGCAUGGCUCAGUGUGAAAAACUCCGGUGGUAUAAGAUGGACCCGCGUUGGAUUAGCUAGUUGGUGGGGUAACGGCCCACCAAGGCGACGAUCCAUAGCCGGCCUGAGAGGGUGAACGGCCACAUUGGGACUGAGACACGGCCCAGACUCCUACGGGAGGCAGCAGUGGGGAAUAUUGCACAAUGGGGGAAACCCUGAUGCAGCGACGCCGCGUGAAGGAAGAAGUAUCUCGGUAUGUAAACUUCUAUCAGCAGGGAAGAUAGUGACGGUACCUGACUAAGAAGCCCCGGCUAACUACGUG
rnacentral:rRNA from 1 species